rnacentral:rRNA from 1 species
AGUCAACCUACCCUAUGGACGGGAAUAACCUCGGGAAACUGAGUAUAAUGCCCGAUAGAACAUUAUGCCUGGAAUUGGUUUAUGUUCCAAAUGAUUUAUCGCCGUAGGAUGGGACUGCGGCCUAUCAGUUUGUUGGUGAGGUAAUGGCCCACCAGGACUAUUACAGGUACGGGCUCUGAGAGGAGUGGCCCGGAGAUGGGUACUGAGACACGGACCCAGGCCCUAUGGGGCGCAGCAGGCGAGAAAACUUUGCAAUGUGCGAAAGCACGACAAGGUUAAUCCGAGUGGUUUCUGCUAAAGAAACCUUUUGUUAGUCCUAGAAACACUAACGAAUAAGGGGUGGGCAAGUUCUGGUGUCAGCCGCCGCGGUAAAACCAGCACCUCAAGUGGUCAGGAUGAUUAUUGGGCCUAAAGCAUCCGUAGCCUGCUCUGUAAGUUUUCGGUUAAAUCUGUACGCUUAACGUACAGGCUGCCGGGAAUACUGUAGAGCUAGGGAGUGGGAGAGGUAGACGGUACUCGGGAGGAAGUGGUAAAAUGCUUUGAUCUCUCGAUGACCACCUGUGGCGAAGGCGGUCUACCAGAACACGUCCGACGGUGAGGGAUGAAAGCUGGGGGAGCAAACCGGAUUAGAUACCCGGGUAGUCCCAGCUGUAAACUAUGCAAACUCAGUGAUGCGUUGGCUUGUGGCCAAUGCAGUGUUGCAGGGAAGCCGUUAAGUUUGCCGCCUGGGAAGUACGUACGCAAGUAUGAAACUUAAAGGAAUUGGCGGGGGAGCACCACAAGGGGUGAAGCCUGCGGUUC